rnacentral:rRNA from 1 species
UGAGUAACACGUAUCCAACCUGCCGUCUACUCUUGACAGCCUUCUGAAAGGAAGAUUAAUACAAGAUGGCAUCAUGAGUCCGCAUGUUCACAUGAUUAAAGGUAUUCCGGUAGACGAUGGGGAUGCGUUCCAUUAGAUAGUAGGCGGGGUAACGGCCCACCUAGUCUUCGAUGGAUAGGGGUUCUGAGAGGAAGGUCCCCACAUUGGAACUGAGACACGGUCCAA